AUCUCAGGCAAAACGCAGCCCUCCUCUCGCCCAACCGACCGAGGGGCGCUGCCGCACAACGCGCGGUGCGUAGCAAAACCGAAUACAAAUAUGAGAAAAAUACAUUUACGAAUACCACAACAUAUACUAAUUACUAGAAAGGCAUUGAAGACUGCAAUGAAAUUAUAUGGUUCCAACAGGAAGGCUACUUACCAAAUGACAAUUAAAAUUUUGCCAUGGAGACUAGCGGGUACGGAUGUAAAUUAGAGAGCGUGCGAUUUUUUCCGUUAGACUUUUUAUAAAGUCGCAGCUCUGUGCCAUAAGCCCGAAAACCUCAAAGCUAUCGCUCAAAUAAAAACCUGCAAAAACCUUGGAUGCGAGCUACGACAAUGCCCGGAAGAGAGUGCGGAAAAAGUAAGAAAGCAAACAGUUCAAAUUUUGGGUGUGAGUUUUGAGUGUAUUGGUAUCAGACAACAACAGGCCAUACAGGCAGAUUAGCAUGUAUGUAUCUGACAUAUUAUAUAACUAUCUAACUAUCAUAGCUACCUAGAGUUACUAAAACAUGUAAGAAUCAUGUUUAAUAAACACUUCAUUCACAACUAAUUGCAAUAAAGUGUAUGUUGCACAC